CCUAGCAAUAGGUUGAUGGCGACCGGCGCACGGGUGUGUAACACGUAUCCAACCUACCGGUUAUUCCGGGAUAGCCUUUCGAAAGAAAGAUUAAUACCGGAUAGUAUAACGAGAAGGCAUCUUCUUGUUAUUAAAGAAUUUCGAUAACCGAUGGGGAUGCGUUCCAUUAGUUUGUUGGCGGGGUAACGGCCCACCAAGACAUCGAUGGAUAGGGGUUCUGAGAGGAAGGUCCCCCACAUUGGAACUGAGACACGGUCCAA
rnacentral:rRNA from 1 species